AUCAAGACUGAGUGGCUUUGGGUUUUAGGGCCACCUGGUUCUGGGGAUAUUCCAUCUUUGACACUGGAUGGGGUUGCAGUUCCCCCAUGAAGGGUGGUGCAUAAUCUGGGGAUCUUUCUGGUGUCACACCUCCUGCUUGAUGAGCAGAGGGCAACUAAGGCCAGGAAGGCCUUUGCACAGCUUCAUCUGGUGCAUCAGUUGGGCUCUUUCCUGGAUAGUGAGGCUCUUCAGUCACUCAUGCCCUGGUCAGCUCACAACUCAACUAUUGCAACACGCUCUACAUGGGGCUGAUAAUUUAGAAGCUUCAAGUGGUCCAGAAUGUAGUGGUGCGGGCAGUUAUGGGCAUGCCCUAGGAUGCCUGUGUGACACCUCUGCUCCACAAGCUGCAUUGAUUGCCAGUUUGUUUCCAGGUGCAAUUCAAGGUGUUGGUUAUGACCUAUAAGACCCUACCUGGCAUAGGACCUGGUUAUUUGAGGGACCACCUAUCUCCCUUAGUGUCUGCCUGGCUGAUUCGAGCUGACAGGGUUGGCGCACUCCAGAUUCCUUCAAUUAAACAGUGUCAUCUAGCAGGACCCAGGAAGUGCUUCUUCUCUGUUGCAGGGCCUGCCCUGUGGAAUGAGGUUCCCUCUGAGAUCCAGACAGCCCUCACUCUGCUGGUGUUUUGAAGGGCUUUGAAGAACUGGCAGUUCUCCCACACCUUGGGCUAGGGUGAUUGGUGAUCCUUUGUUGGAUGUUGGUGGGAUGUUUUGGGGUUUGCCCAGUUCAUCAGCUUGCUCUUCUUGUUCUUUGUCUGAAUCUGAUUUUGUUAUCUGUUAUUUCAGUUAUAUUGAUUUUGUAUGUUUUGGUGUAUUAUGAGGCAUCAAAUGGAAUAUAAAUAAAUAAAU